GGUUUAAUUAUUUAUGGCAAGGAUUAAUUAAUAUGUUAAUUAAUCAAACGAAUAAGUUCGUUAUAGACCUCGGGAUAGUUUUGGACCUUAAGACCCAAUGUGAAGGAUUAUUUUGUGAAAACAUGUUCAUUUGAAUAACAUCUAUAGCAUGCAUUUAACAAUUAAAAGGCGGAAUCAUGCUUGCAUGCAUUCAAAAACAAAACAUUAACCAAGAAAUUCAAAGCCUAGUAGAUUGGUGAACCAAGACUCAACUCAAAACAAAGUGAGUUGAGAAAUAUAUACCUUUGUAGAUUCCUCUUUGCUUAAGCAAAGGCUAAUCACCCAAAGAGAGGGCCUUCAUUCCUUGCAUCUAAAAUCUAUGGAUUUGGAUGGAAGAAUAUGGUUCUCCAAGUUCCCAAAAUUGAGAACCUCUAAGUAUCCACA
rnacentral:lncRNA from 1 species